AGUCGGCCACCUAGAGACAGACACUCUGGCAAUUAACCAGUGAAAAUGCAGUCUCACCACCUGGGGAAACAUCAUGUGCUUUUCCCAGUUUUUUAAAAAGUCUAUUUCGAGGGCUCAUUGCCAGUUCCGAAGAAAGCUGUGAAGAAGUUGGAUGCUACACAACUGCAUUCUCUAGUAAUCAAGAACCAUUUCUUUUGGAAUUGCUGAGCUAUCCACUUAAACCUAGUUCAUUAAGGCCUUUUUAUUUAAAAAAUCACAACAUUUAAACAAGCCUAUGCACACACACCACCUAUGGGCAAAGCCACCUGGCUUCCCCAAAGAACCCUGCACUCAACCAAGUUUGGUUAACUGGUCAGUAAAUGAAGAGGCAACGGUAGAAAAAGGCCCAGCGAGAAUUUAAGAACCUGGAUUUUUAGUCCCUGCUCUGCCAAUAAUUAAGUGUCUGAAGCAUGGCAAAUCCUACCCCUUCCAGAACCUUAGGCUUCUCACCUGUAAAAUGAUAGGGUUGGACUGGAUGACCUGCAAGGUACUUUUCAGCUCUAGCGUUCUCUGAUAUCUAGGUGUCCUUCUGCGGAGCAGCCCCUCCACCAAACACCAAGCCACAUCUCCCUCUGGCUACUGGCCUGACCUCCAUCCACGAAAGGCCUGACCACGUCAGCGAAGGCUCUACCGUCUGCCCUCCGCAGGAGUUGAAGACCCCAUUGAGGUCCUCACCAGGGGGAGGGGAGAAGGGGCGUUCCCUCGACCCCUAGAUAUCCAAAUGAAGUCAGGGGAAGAUUAAGAUCGGAGUGGCAAGAAGUGGCCCUCGGGGACGGGAAGCAAGUGCCUAAGAAGGCUCCAGCCUAGGGAAGCUGGGGAGGGGAGGGGGUAGGGCAACAGCCAGGAGCCCACCAACCCCAGGAAAAAGUUCCCGCUGGUGCUCUUGCCCUCAGCCCAUCUCCUGGAAAUAUUAGGUACAGGCAAAUCUCCUUCUAAAGAGACAAGUGGGUCAGGGUCGGAGGGGAGACGCGGGAGGGAAAAACAAAUCCUACCCCCUACCCGCUGGCUAAGCAGGUGACUGGGAGCAAAGGGCUAGGCUAGGGAGCAAAGACCGGAGACGUAUUACUCUCUGAUACUCACUGAGGCGAGGCUGGGAGAGGUAGUUCCGACUGACUGCCAGCGCCUGCUCCCGAGCUCCCACCGCCGGCCCACCGGUGGGCACGGGUAGCUCGGGUGCGGCCCCGUUGACAAUCCCCCGCAUCGCCCGCAGCGCCAUCUUGUCUCCUCUGUCCCGACUGGCCCAGCAGCGACGCCGCGCACGCGCAGAUAUACCAAGGCGGCCCGCGGCCCGAGGCUCCGCCUAUGCGCGCUGCGGCGCCCCGGCCUCGCCCCGCCCCCUUCGCCGCCGGCCGCCCCCAGCCUCGUGACUUCGCGCCGCUGGGGCCAGACCUGCUUGCGAGCAAGAGGAGCUGACCAGCGUGCUGGGAGGCGCGCGCGGGCGCAGAGGGAAGGGAAGCGAAAGAGGGGAGAUGGAAGGAGAGAGGAAAGCCAGCCGAAAGAGAGGCGCACAAGCGGAGUGAGGGGAGGAAGGCAAACGCGUGCAGGCCAACGUCAGCUGAUAUCCAUUUCGAAUGGGCUUUCGUGACGCUGAAUGGAGAGAACUCAAGCUGUGAAAACCGCUUUGAAAAACAGAAGCAAUGGAAAACAUGUUUCAGUGAUUAUUAACACAUGUGGCAUCAUUUAGUUCACUUUACUCCCUACCCAAUUCGUUCACGCAUGUAUCCAUUCGACAAACAUAUAUUGGCUUGUUAUAGGAUGUGCGUAGCGGUGUGAAAAAUAGGGGCAGAUUUGGAAGCUGUGUAAGGGGUGGGACU
rnacentral:lncRNA from 1 species